CCUACGGGAGGCAGCAGUGGGGAGUAUUGGACAAUGGGCGAAAGCCUGAUCCAGCCAUGCCGCAUGAGUGAAGAAGGCCUUUGGGUUGUAAAGCUCUUUUAGUGAGGAAGAUAAUGACGGUACUCACAGAAGAAGUCCUGGCUAACUCCGUGCCAGCAGCCGCGGUAAUACGGAGAGGGCUAGCGUUAUUCGGAAUUAUUGGGCGUAAAGGGCGCGUAGGCGGAUUGGUAAGUUAAAAGUGAAAUCCCAAGGCUCAACCUUGGAAUUGCUUUUAAAACUGCUAAUCUAGAGAUUGAAAGAGGAUAGAGGAAUUCCUAGUGUAGAGGUGAAAUUCGUAAAUAUUAGGAGGAACACCAGUGGCGAAGGCGUCUAUCUGGUUCAAAUCUGACGCUGAGGCGCGAAGGCGUGGGGAGCAAACAGGAUUAGAUACCCCAGUAGUC
rnacentral:rRNA from 1 species